rnacentral:rRNA from 4 species
UAAACGACUCUCGGCAACGGAUAUCUCGGCUCUCGCAUCGAUGAAGAACGUAGCGAAAUGCGAUACUUGGUGUGAAUUGCAGAAUCCCGUGAAUCAUCGAGUCUUUGAACGCAAGUUGCGCCCGAAGCCUUUUGGCCGAGGGCACGUCUGCCUGGGUGUCACGC